GCCCAGGUAGCUCAGUCGGUAGAGCAGAGGACUGAAAAUCCUCGUGUCGGUGGUUCGAUUCCGCCCCUGGCCACCA
rnacentral:tRNA from 1 species